CCUACGGGUGGCUGCAGUGGGGGAUAUUGCACAAUGGGGGGAACCCUGAUGCAGCGACGCCGCGUGGGUGAAGGAGCGUUUCGGCGCGUAAAGCCCUAUCGGCAGGGAAGAAGAUGACGGUACCUGACCAAGAAGCCCCGGCUAACUACGUGCCAGCAGCCGCGGGAAUACGUAGGGGGCAAGCGUUAUCCGGAUUUACUGGGUGUACAGGGGGCGCAGACGGCAAUGCAAGCCAGGAGUGAAAGCCCGGGGCCCAACCCCGGGACUGCUCUUGGAACUGCAUGGCUGGAGUACAGGAGGGGCAGGCGGAAUGCCUAGUGUAGCGGUGAAAUGCGUAGAUAUUAGGAGGAACACCAGUGGCGAAGGCGGCCUGCUGGGCUUUUACUGACGCUGAGGCUCGAAAGUGUGGGGAGCAAACAGGAUUAGAUACCCGAGUAGUC
rnacentral:rRNA from 1 species